AAAACAAAAAGAAACUAUCAACUCAACAUCUGACAUUCUCAAAAACGCCGCUCCUUCUCUCCUUCUACUUCACAGUCAUAUUGUUCUAUACUUUCCCGUCGCUUCCUUGCGUGGCCAUCGCCUCCGCAGCUUCAACCUUGGUACCGGCUAGAUUCUUGCAAUUGUGGAUUCAAAUGUUUUCUUGUCUGGAAGAAGAUGAUGAUGAUUGUUAGUCCUUGUAUGUAGGAGGUUUAAAUGAACCCA